AUUGAACGCUGGCGGCAUGCCUUACACAUGCCAGUCGAACGGCAGCACGGGUGCUUGCCCCUGGUGGCGAGUGGCGAACGGGUGAGUAAUACAUCGGAACAUGUCCUGUAGUGGGGGAUAGCCCGGCGAAAGCCGGAUUAAUACCGCAUACGAUCUACGGAUGAAAGCGGGGGACCUUCGGGCCUCGCGCUAUAGGGUUGGCCGAUGGCUGAUUAGCUAGUUGGUGGGGUAAAGGCCUACCAAGGCGACGAUCAGUAGCUGGUCUGAGAGGACGACCAGCCACACUGGGACUGAGACACGGCCCAGACUCCUACGGGAGGCAGCAGUGGGGAAUUUUGGACAAUGGGCGAAAGCCUGAUCCAGCAAUGCCGCGUGUGUGAAGAAGGCCUUCGGGUUGUAAAGCACUUUUGUCCGGAAAGAAAUCCUUGGCCCUAAUACGGUCGGGGGAUGACGGUACCGGAAGAAUAAGCACCGGCUAACAACGUG
rnacentral:rRNA from 1 species